rnacentral:rRNA from 1 species
UUUGAUUCUGGCUCAGGAUGAACGCUGGCGGCAUGCCUAAUACAUGCAAGUCGAACGAGAUGGCCCAGUGAAGGUUGCGUGCUUGCACAAGACUGAAUCUGGAUCACCAUCUAGUGGCAGACGGGUGAGUAACACGUGGGUGACCUACCUUUUCGUUGGGGAUAACAGUUGGAAACGAUUGCUAAUACCGAAUAAAAUAUAAGAGCCAAUUUUAUAUUGAAAGGAGCCUUUAAAGCUUCGCGAUUAGAUGGGCCUGCGGCGUAUUAACUUGUUGGUGAGGUAACGGCUCACCAAGGUAACGAUGCGUAGCCGAACUGAGAGGUUGAUCGGCCACACUGGGACUGAGACACGGCCCAGACUCCUACGGGAGACAGCAGUUGGGAAUAUUCGUCAAUG